rnacentral:rRNA from 1 species
UACGUAGGGGGCAAGCGUUAUCCGGAUUUACUGGGUGUAAAGGGAGCGUAGACGGCAGGGCAAGUCUGGAGUGAAAGCCCGGGGCCCAACCCCGGGACUGCUUUGGAAACUGCCAUGCUGGAGUGCUGGAGAGGUAAGCGGAAUUCCUAGUGUAGCGGUGAAAUGCGUAGAUAUUAGGAGGAACACCAGUGGCGAAGGCGGCUUACUGAACAGUAACUGACGUUGAGGCUCGAAAGCGUGGGGAGCAAACAGG